UUAAGCAUGCAAGUCGGACGGUAGUACAGAGCUUGCUCUGUAUGAGAGUGGCGAACGGGUGAGUAACACGUAGGUGAUCUACCUUUGGAUUGGGGAUAGCCCAUGGAAACAUGGGGUAAUACCGAAUAAAGCGGUUGAAAUAGAAAUCAACUGUGAAAGGCGCUUAGGCGCCGUCUGAAGAUGAGCCUGCGGCUUAUUAGCUAGUUGGUAGGGUAACGGCCUACCAAGGCGACGAUAAGUAGCCGGCCUGAGAGGGUGGACGGCCACACUGGGACUGAGACACGGCCCAGACUCCUACGGGAGGCAGCAGCUAAGAAUCUUCCGCAAUGGGCGAAAGCCUGACGGAGCGGCGCCGCGUGGGUGAAGAAGGCCGAAAGGUUGUAAAGCCCUUUUCUCGCAGAAGAAUAAGGGCAGGAGGGAAUGCCUGUCUGAUGACGUUAGGUGAGGAAUAAGCCCCGGCCAAUUACGUGCCAGCAGCAGCGGUAAUACAGAGACCUCAAGCGUUAUCCGGAUUUACUGGGCGUAAAGCGUCUGUAGGGGGUUUAUUAAGUUCCAAGUAAAAUUUCAAGGCUCAACUUUGAAUUCGCUUGGAAAACUAAUAAACUGGAGUCUAGCAGAGGUGCAUGGAACUUGUGGUGUAGGAGUGAAAUCCGUUGAUAUCACAAGGAACACCAAAGGCGAAGGCAUUGCACUGGGCUAGCACUGACCCUGAGAGACGAAAGCGUGGGGAGCAAAACGGAUUAGAUACCCGUGUAGUCCACGCCCUAAACGAUGAAUGCUAAAUGUUUGGGGAUUCGACCCCCUGGGUGUUACAGCUAACGCGUUAAGCAUUCCGCCUGGGAAGUACGGCCGCAAGGCUAAAACUCAAAGGAAUAGACGGGGAUCCGCACAAGCGGUGGAGCGUCUGGUUUAAUUCGACAGUAAGCGUGGUACCUCACCAGGGUUUGACAUCCCUUGACAGCCUUGGAAACAAGGUUUCCUUCGGGCAAGGUGACAGGUGCUGCAUGGUCGUCGUCAGUUCGUGCCGUGAGGUGUUCCGUUAAGUCGGGAAGCGAACGAAACCCCUAUUGCAUGUUACAAUUUCUCAUGCAAGACUGCCCGGAUAUACUGGGAGGAAGGUGGGGAUGACGUCAGAUCUGCAUGGUCCUUAUACCCUGGGCGACACAGGCGCUACAAUGGCAGAGACAAAGGGUUGCAAAACCGCAAGGUGAAGCUAAUCCCAAAAACUUUGUCUAAGUUCGGAUUGAAGGCUGCAAUUCGCCUUCAUGAAGCUGGAAUCGCUAGUAAUCGUGAAUCAGCCACGUCACGGUGAAUAUGUUCCCGGAUCUUGUACUCACCGCCCGUCACACCAAGAGAGUUGUAGCUCCCGAA
rnacentral:rRNA from 1 species